GGAUUUCGAAGAGGAAACGAAUGAAAAUGUAGUAAAAGAAUGAGGAGAAAGAGAGCAAUUUUGGAACCAAAUAGGGAAGAAGAAAUAAGAGAGAACGAAUUUUAUUUGUAAUACUAGUAUAACUAAGUAAAACUAAGUUUUCUGGAUAUGGUUGUGUAUAACUGGAAAUACUAGAUAAAUCUAAUUUGUUUUUUUUUUUUUCUGGAUUUGGUUCGUAUAACUAAAAAUUUUAGGAAAAGCUUGGAAGAACAACCAUGAAAUAGUCUUACAAAACAAAACAAUGGAGAAUAAAUAAAAUAAAGACAAUAAUAGUAUAACUAAGUAAAACUAGAUAAAACUAGGCGAAUUUGAUUUGUAAUACUAUUAUAACUAAGUAAAACUAAGUUUUCUGGAUUUGGUUGUGUAUAAUUGGAAAUACUAGAUAAAACUA
rnacentral:lncRNA from 1 species